rnacentral:lncRNA from 1 species
AAUUUAUACCGAAACUCUACUUCACCCGAUAGUUUAUUUCAACCUGAACUUCAUCUUCGGUAAAACAAACAAGCCCUGAUAGACCAAACAGAAUUAGGGCGAAUAUAUAUAGGGAUAUAUAUACUUUACCGAUUUUCAGUGGGACCGUUAAUCAUAAUCGACUUAUUACGAUACACGUAAUGUGAUUUUACGUACGAAAACAGAUAAAUUAUUUUUCAUUAUACUUUUUCGCAUGUAAUAUACGCAAUCUCUCCGCAAUUUUAAACGGAACCUAUAAUAAAAAUAUUGUUGGGUUUUGGGUUGGACGUU